GAGUUUGAUCCUGGCUCAGGACGAACGCUGGCGGCGUGCCUAAUACAUGCAAGUCGAGCGAGCUGAAUUCAAAGAUCCCUUCGGGGUGAUUUGUUGGACGCUAGCGGCGGAUGGGUGAGUAACACGUGGGCAAUCUGCCCUAAAGACUGGGAUACCACUUGGAAACAGGUGCUAAUACCGGAUAACAACAUGAAUCGCAUGAUUCAAGUUUGAAAGGCGGCGCAAGCUGUCACUUUAGGAUGAGCCCGCGGCGCAUUAGCUAGUUGGUGGGGUAAAGGCCUACCAAGGCAAUGAUGCGUAGCCGAGUUGAGAGACUGAUCGGCCACAUUGGGACUGAGACACGGCCCAAACUCCUACGGGAGGCAGCAGUAGGGAAUCUUCCACAAUGGACGCAAGUCUGAUGGAGCAACGCCGCGUGAGUGAAGAAGGUCUUCGGAUCGUAAAGCUCUGUUGUUGGUGAAGAAGGAUAGAGGCAGUAACUGGUCUUUAUUUGACGGUAAUCAACCAGAAAGUCACGGCUAACUACGUGCCAGCAGCCGCGGUAAU
rnacentral:rRNA from 1 species